rnacentral:rRNA from 1 species
GACGAACCGUCCUAACGUUGUUCGGAAUCACUGGGCUUAAAGGGCGCGUAGGCGGGUCAGCAAGUCCGGGGUGAAAUCUUUCGGCUUAACCGGAAAAGUGCCUUGGAUACUGCUGGUCUAGAGGGGGGUAGGGGCAUGUGGAACUUCCGGUGGAGCGGUGAAAUGCGUUGAUAUCGGAAGGAACGCCGGUGGCGAAAGCGACGUGCUGGAUCUCUUCUGACGCUGAGGCGCGAAAGCCAGGGGAGCAAACGGG